AAAUGCGAUAAGUAAUGUGAAUUGCAGAAUUCAGUGAAUCAUCGAAUCUUUGAACGCACCUUGCGCUCCUUGGUAUUCCUUGGAGCAUGCCUGUUUGAGUAUCAUGAAAUCUUCAAAGUAAAUCUUUUGUUAACUCAAUUGGUUUCUACUUUGGUAUUGGAGGUCUUUGCAGCUUCACACCUGCUCCUCUUUGUUCAUUAGCUGGAUCUCAGUGUUAUGCUUGGUUCCACUCGGCGUGAUAAGUUAUCUAUCGCUGAGGACACUGUAAAAGGUGGCCAAGGUAAAUGCAGAUGAACCGCUUCUAAUAGUCCAUUGACUUGGACAAUACUUUUAUGAUCUGAUCUCAAAUCAGGUAGGACUACUCGCUGAACUUAAGC
rnacentral:misc_RNA from 1 species